rnacentral:rRNA from 1 species
AGAGUUUGAUCCUGGCUCAGGAUGAACGUUGGCAGUGUGCCUAAGACAUGCAAGUCGAACGAAGCACUAGUGCGGAACUCUUCGGAGGGGAGGAUUAGUGACUGAGUGGCAAACGGGUGAGUAACACGUGGAUGACCUACCCUGAAGUGGGGGAUAACCUUGGGAAACCAGGACUAAUCCCGCAUGUGCUUGUUGGUUGUGACUAACAAGGAGAGAUUUAUCGCUUUAGGAUGGGUCCGCGGGCCAUCAGCUAGUUGGUGAGGUAAAGGCUCACCAAGGCAACGACGGCUAGCCGGCCUGAGAGGGUGAACGGCCACAGGGGUACUGAGACACGGACCCCACUCCUACGGGAGGCAGCAGUUAGGAAUCUUCCACAAUGGGCGCAAGCCUGAUGGAGCGACACUGCGUGAGGGAAGAAGGCUUUCGGGUUGUAAACCUCUAAAAGUAGGACGAUAAUGACGGUACUACUUGAGAAGCACCGGCUAACUCCGUGCCAGCAGCCGCGGUAAUACGGAGGGUGCAAACGUUAUCCGGAAUCACUGGGCGUAAAGGGCACGCAGGCGGUUAGUUAAGUCCGAUGUUAAAGCGUGGGGCUCAACCCCAUACGGGCGUUGGAUACUGGCUAACUAGACUCUUGGAGAGGUAAGUAGAAUUACCAGUGUAGCGGUGGAAUGCGUAGAUACUGGUA